CAACGGAAGUCUUCUUUCCAGUUCAAAUUGUUUCGGCUUUGUAUCUGUCUAAAUUUAGUGGUUUAUUAUCUUGUUACAUCUGUUCCAGCACGCAGCUUUAAUUAAGGACAAUUACCCUCAAAUCAUCUGUUUAUUCUUUGCUAACGAUCUCUGCUAUCGUGGGAGCGGCAUCCAUUAAGGCAGACCGGAACCUGAAGCCUCAAAAGCCCCAUUGCUAAGCAAUUCCAGUGAUUCCAAUUUCAGCUCUUUGCUCCUCACCCCACUUUGUAAGGCUGGCAUGGUCUGUACAGUAGUGACCUGAGAGUAGAUCCCAUUGAACUCAUUGGGGCUUAUGGACAGAACUUGGUGGCAAAACGAGUUACCAUCCUGUCCCUAAGCAUGAAAAUUGCAACCCCACAGCAUGGGCAGAAAACAGACAAGUAGCUAAUACAUGUAAGUGGCCCCAUGCUUGGUGCUUUCUAUGGAGAGUCCUGUUGACGCUCUUUGAGCUCUCUCAUUGCAAGCCAGGCAGAUGUUGCGGCCAUAUUUGUCUCUUGCAUGGGGACCAAAUAUUCGGGGAAGCUUUUCAUCUCCAAUUGGUAGGAAAGAGGGUUCAUUCUGGUGGGCUGGAUCUGGAGCACAAAGGGUCAAGUUCUACUUGCAUGAGCCCUUAUGUUCAUUCUUCAAACUUAUUAGGCAGGAACGUCAGAGGUCAAAUCUGAGAGUAUUUCAUUCUGGGCGUCUUGUGGCAGAGCACAGAAGGCAUGUAAUCAAUUCUUUUCAGUUCUGUCAAGUAGGUCCUUCCCAGGGCUGUCUGAGUUAUGGGGUUCCUUGGGGUCCAGGUCAGCUGACUAGUCAGGAUUGUCACCUGCAGAGUAUAUGUCAACUAAAGGAUAAUAGUCUGCCUUGGAUUGAGGACUUUUUGGAGGUGUUGCUGAAUGUCGAAGCAGAGGAGCUGGUGAUGCCACAUUUUGGAAUAAUCUUGAGACUAAUACACCACUCCUCCUUAGAUAUUCUCUGUACUUAUACACUAUAUUCACAAACUUUAUACUAUAUGCACUAUAUUCACAAACUUUACACUCCUCUUGUGAGAAGAUACCUAAAGGAUUAGGGUAGCUUGAGAGAAGUAGCUUAUUUUGAGACAGCACCCAUUUCCAAUUCUUUUUUUAUGAAAACUCUCUUCCUAGUUGGUUUUGUUUUGGCUUCUGACAGGACACCAGAGCAUUUGAUAACCUUGCAUAUCGUUUCAUAUUGAUAUAAGGAUCUGGUGUGCAAAUUCCAGUACAGUGGUACCUCGGGUUACAUACGCUUCAGUUACAUACGCUUCAGCUUACAGACUCCGCUAACCUAGAAAUAGUACCUCGGGUUAGAACUUUGCUUCAGGAUGAGAACAGAAAUUGUGCUCUGGUGGUGCGGCGGCAGCGGGAGGCCCCAUUAGCUAAAGUGGCGCUUCAGGUUAAGAACAGUUUCAGGUUAAGAAUGGACAUCUGAGAACGAAUUAGUGUUCUGUCUGGACCCAGACCAUGAGCUACUCUUAAGUAAGUUAAAAAGUAUUUUUAAGUCAACUUUUUAAUAUUGCACUAUUUUUAAAAUUUUUAACAUUUUUGCUCUUCUUUGUACUUUUAGACCUCCUUUUGCCAUGUGGACGAAUCAAACUUCCCUUAUUGAUCUAUUUUUAAUGGUAGGGAAAGAGAUAUUGUUGUAUUAUCUGGUGCCACAGACUCUGCUAGAUUUUAUUCAGAAGGUUUUACAAGUACCUAUCAGGAUGAUUAGUUCCUCUACCUGUUUAGCCUGAAUUUGGCCUUGAGUCGCUUGAGCUCCUGGUCUCAGUGCCAGAGAUGACUUAGCAGUUGAGCUGCCUGGGCCCAAAACCUCUUUCUGCUCAUCCUCAGAGCUGCUGAGAGAUCCUAUAAGGCUGAGGAAGAAAUUGAGCCUGAAAUGAUUGAACAAUGCAAAUGACUGUUUGUGAAAGAGGAAGAAGGGAAAUGAAUUACUGCCUUUUUUGAGAAAAAAUUUUGAGAAAAUUUGACAGGAUGUACCUCCAUGUCCCUGAGAUCUCUGAAGCCUACAUGGAAGAAGGCCUGGGCAGCUCAGAGCAGCCUCAUCCUGGUUGGAAAAGGCAGGACUGGUGGAAGAAUAUUCCCAGAGAGAACAGGAGAUACAUCUCCUAUUG